rnacentral:rRNA from 1 species
AUUGAACGCUGGCGGCAGGCCUAACACAUGCAAGUCGAGCGAGCGGCGGACGGGUGAGUAAUGUCUGGGAAACUGCCUGAUGGAGGGGGAUAACUACUGGAAACGGUAGCUAAUACCGCAUACCAUCAGAUGUGCCCAGAUGGGAUUAGCUCGUAGGUGGGGUAACGGCUCACCUAGGCGCCGAUCCCUAGCUGGUCUGAGAGGAUGACCAGGAAAGCUGGCACUGAGGCACGGUCCAGACUCCUACGGGAGUCAGCAGGGGGGAAUAUUGCACAAUGGGAGUAAGCCUGAGACAGCCAUGCCGCGUGUGUGAAGAGGGCCUUCGGGUUUUAAAGCACUUUCAGCGGGGAGGCGGUGACCGAAGAAGAAGCACCGGCUAACUCCGUGCCAGCAGCCGCGGUAAUUC